rnacentral:rRNA from 1 species
UACGUAGGGUGCGAGCGUUGUCCGGAAUUACUGGGCGUAAAGAGCUCGUAGGUGGUUUGUCGCGUUGUUCGUGAAAACCGGGGGGCUUAACCCUCGGCGUGCGGGCGAUACGGGCAGACUGGAGUACUGCAGGGGAGACUGGAAUUCCUGGUGUAGCGGUGAAAUGCGCAGAUAUCAGGAGGAACACCGGUGGCGAAGGCGGGUCUCUGGGCCGAUACUGACGCUGAGGAGCGAAAGCGUGGGGAGCGAACAGGAUUAGAUACCCGUUGU